UACGGAGGGGGCAAGCGUUGUUCGGAAUUACUGGGGCGUAAAGGGCGCGCAGGCGGCUGCUCAAGUCAGGCGUGAAAGGCCUGGGCUCAACCCGGGAAUUGCGCUUGAGACUGGGCUGGCUUGAGUGCGGGAGAGGAUGGUGGAAUUCCCAGUGUAGAGGUGAAAUUCGUAGAUAUCUGGAGGAACACCGGUGGCGAAGGCGGCAUCCUGGACCGUAACUGACGCUGAGACACGAAAGCGUGGGUAGCAAACAGG
rnacentral:rRNA from 1 species